AUUGAACGCUGGCGGCAGGCCUAACACAUGCAAGUCGAACGAGUGGCGGACGGGUGAGUAAUGUCUGGGAAACUGCCUGAUGGAGGGGGAUCACUACUGGAAACGGGAGCUAAUACCGCAUACCAUCAGAUGUGCCCAGAUGGGAUUCGCUAGUGGGUGGGGUAACGGCUCACCUAGGCGACGAGCCCUAGCUGGUCUGAGAGGAUGACCAGCCACACUGGAACUGAGACACGGUCCAGACUCCUACGGGAGGCAGCAGUGGGGAAUAUUGCACAAUGGGCGCAAGCCUGAUGCAGCCAUGCCGCGUGUAUGAAGAAGGCCUUCGGGUUGUAAAGUACUUUCAGCGGGGAGGCGUUACCCGCAGAAGAAGCACCGGCUAACUCCGUGCCAGCAGCCGCGGUAAUAC
rnacentral:rRNA from 1 species